rnacentral:rRNA from 1 species
CCCGCACAAGCGGUGGAGCAUGUGGUUUAAUUCGAUGCAACGCGAAGAACCUUACCUGGGCUUGACAUCCCGAUGCUAUUUCUAGAGAUAGAAAGUUACUUCGGUACAUCGGUGACAGGUGAUGCAUGGUUGUCGUCAGCUCGUGUCGUGAGAUGUUGGGUUAAGUCCCGCAACGAGCGCAACCCUUGUCUUUAAUUGCCAUCAUUCAGUUGGGCACUUUAAAGAGACUGCCGGUGUUAAACCGGAGGAAGGUGGGGAUGACGUCAAGUCCUCAUGGCCUUUAUGCCCAGGGCUACACACGUGCUACAAUGGGUGGUACAGAGCGCAGCGAGGCCGCGAGGCGGAGCGAAUCGCUUAAAGCCGGUCCCAGUACGGAUUGGAGUCUGCAACCCGACUCCAUGAAGUUGGAAUCGCUAGUAAUCGCGCAUCAGCAUGGCGCGGUGAGUACGUUCCCGGGCCUU